UUGCUAGGGAACGCCCUUUUCUCGCUGCG
rnacentral:piRNA from 1 species